GACGAACGCUGGCGGCGUGCCUAACACAUGCAAGUCGAACGGGGAGUUAUUUAUAACUCCUAGUGGCGAACGGGUGAGUAACGUGUAGACAACCUGCCUCUAAACUGGGGACAACACCGCGAAAGUGGUGCUAAUACCGAAUGUGGUAUCUUGAUCGCAUGAUUGAGAUAAGAAAGAUGGCCUCUACAUGUAAGCUAUCGAUUAGAGAUGGUUCUGCGUCUGAUUAGCUAGUUGGUGAGGUAACGGCUCACCAAGGCGACGAUCAGUAGCCGGUCUGAGAGGAUGAACGGCCACACUGGGACUGAGACACGGCCCAGACUCCUACGGGAGGCAGCAGUGGGGAAUCUUCCGCAAUGGACGAAAGUCUGACGGAGCAACGCCGCGUGAGUGAAGAAGGUCUUCGGAUUGUAAAGCUCUGUCGUUUGGGACGAACGUAUCCUGUGUGAAUAAUGCGGGGUAAUGACGGUACCAAAGGAGGAAGCCACGGCUAACUACGUGCCAGCAGCCGCCGUAA
rnacentral:rRNA from 1 species